rnacentral:rRNA from 1 species
GGGGAAUUUUCCGCAAUGGGCGCAAGCCUGACGGAGCGACGCCGCGUGAGUGAAGAAGGCCUUCGGGUUGUAAAGCUCUGUCCUAUGGGAAGAAGACAGUGACGGUACCAUAGGAGGAAGCCACGGCUAACUACGUGCCAGCAGCCGCGGUAAUACGUAGGUGGCAAGCGUUGUCCGGAAUUACUGGGCGUAAAGGGCACGCAGGCGGUAUAUUAAGUCGGAUGUGUAAUCUACGGGCUUAACCUGUAGUUUGGAUCCGAAACUGGAAUACUUGAGGGUAGGAGAGGACAGUGGAAUUCCUAGUGUAGCGGUGAAAUGCGUAGAUAUUAGGAGGAACACCAGUGGCGAAGGCGGCUGUCUGGCCUACAACUGACGCUGAGGUGCGAAAGCGUGGGUAGCAAAC